UACGAAGGGGGCUAGCGUUGCUCGGAAUGACUGGGCGUAAAGGGCGCGUAGGCGGUUCGUACAGUCAGACGUGAAAUUCCCGGGCUCAACCUGGGGGCUGCGUUUGAUACGUACGGGCUUGAGUUCGGAAGAGGGUCGUGGAAUUCCCAGUGUAGAGGUGAAAUUCGUAGAUAUUCGCAAGAACACCAGUGGCGAAGGCGGCUCACUGGCCCGGUACUGACGCUGAGGUGCGAAAGCGUGGGGAGCAAACAGG
rnacentral:rRNA from 1 species